rnacentral:rRNA from 1 species
AGAAUCAACGCUGGCGGCGUGCCUAACACAUGCAAGUCGAACGAGAAAGUGGAGCAAUCCAUGAGUAAAGUGGCGCACGGGUGAGUAACACGUGACUAACCUACCUUUUAGUGGGGGAUAACCUAGGGAAACCUGGGCUAAUACCGCAUAAUACCUACGGGUCAAAGCAGCAAUGCGCUGGAAGAGGGGGUCGCGGCCGAUUAGCUAGUUGGCGGGGUAAUGGCCCACCAAGGCAGUGAUCGGUAUCCGGCCUGAGAGGGCGCACGGACACACUGGAACUGAAACACGGUCCAGACUCCUACGGGAGGCAGCAGUGGGAAUUUGCGCAAUGGGGGAACCCUGACGCAGCAACGCCGCGUGGAGGAUGAAGACCCUUGGGUCGUAAACUCCUUUCGAUCGGGACGAUAAUGACGGUACCGGAAGAAGAAGCCCCGGCUAACUUCGUGCCAGCAGCCGC